AUGUCUUAAACUUAUGAGUAAGGAAAAUAACGAUUGUUAUUCGGGGUGACGCCCGAAUCCUCACUGCUAAUGUGAGACGAAUUUUUGAGCUGGUAAAGGUCGCCCCUAAGGUGACCAGCCUACUUUGCGGGAUGCCUAGGAGUCGCGAUCUGCCUG
ensembl:snRNA U12 U12 minor spliceosomal RNA